rnacentral:rRNA from 1 species
ACUCCUACGGGAGGCAGCAGUGGGGAAUAUUGCGCAAUGGGCGAAAGCCUGACGCAGCGACGCCGCGUGAGGGACGACGGCCUUCGGGUUGUAAACCUCUUUCAGCAGGGAUGAAGCGAAAGUGACAGUACCUGCAGAAGAAGCACCGGCUAACUACGUGCCAGCAGCCGCGGUAAUACGUAGGGUGCAAGCGUUGUCCGGAAUUAUUGGGCGUAAAGAGCUCGUAGGCGGUCUGUCACGUCGGAUGUGAAAUCCAGGGCUCAACCCUGGACCUGCAUUCGAUACGGGCAGACUAGAAUUCGGUAGGGGAGACUGGAAUUCCUGGUGUAGCGGUGAAAUGCGCAGAUAUCAGGAGGAACACCGGUGGCGAAGGCGGGUCUCUGGGCCGAUAUUGACGCUGAGGAGCGAAAGCGUGGGGAGCGAACAGGAUUAGAUACCCUGGUAGUCCACGCCGUAAACGUUGGGCGCUAGGUGUGGGGAACAUUCCACGUUCUCCGUGCCGCAGCUAACGCAUUAAGCGCCCCGCCUGGGGAGUACGGCCGCAAGGCUAAAACUCAAAGGAAUUGACGGGGGCCCGCACAAGCGGCGGAGCAUGCGGCUUAAUUCGACGCAACGCGAAGAACCUUACCAAGGCUUGACAUAUAGGGAAAUCUCACAGAGAUGUGAGGUCCGCAAGGGCCCUAUACAGGUGGUGCAUGGUUGUCGUCAGCUCGUGUCGUGAGAUGUUGGGUUAAGUCCCGCAACGAGCGCAACCCUCGUUCAAUGUUGCCAGCACGUAAUGGUGGGGACUCAUUGGAGACUGCCGGGGUCAACUCGGA